UAGUCCUCUGUGUUCCUGAUCGUGCACUGUAAAAAAUCGAACCUUCAAAAUCGUUAAAUGAAAUGAAGAUUCUAAGUUGAAAAAGCAAAUACACCUAAUAAAUGUUCAGGUAACUUAUAAACACGAGUUUAGUUAUUUUUCUUCUUCUAAUGUUCAGGGGAAAUGAUAAAUAAAGUUGCGUUAAAUCGCGUUCUUCAAUUUUAGUCGAUUCCGUGUACUUUCCGUCACUGCGCAUGCGGACUCCCCCCUUGGAAAGACAAACGGUUCGGAUGCCUACAAGUUUCAGCAAAGAUACGCUUUUCGCGCUUUGGCAAAGCAUAAGGUUUGGAAUGCAAUGCAAACUAUGCAAAAUUGAGAACCCUCUCCUGAUGUACUACUGAAGCACUGCAGGUUGUGUCACUAUCAAGGCCGCUCUUCGUCAUUACCCUGUCUCUAUCCUGAGUGUGUUUGCACUUACAGAAAUCCAGGUGCGUUGAAGUCACAUUUAUCUCGAGCACAUAGACAAAUUCCACAACAAGCACCCCAUUUUAAUUUUUUGUGCGAAACCUUAUCAUAUUCAUGAUUGUAAUAUGCAUUCUUAUUUGGACCUGUAUGACUUUGUUGCAGAGAAUUAUGAUAUUACAGGAUUUCUUUAUCUUUUUUGUAACCUUAAGAUCUUUUAAAUGCAAAGAAGUGUUUGUGUAUGCCCAGUGAGAGAGGAAUUCUUUUUUGUGACAUGUUCAAAGAUGUAAUGUUUGACAUAAAAGUUCUGCUCAUAUGCAAUCAGGCAUGUUUGGUAUAUAUGUUAGCCUAAUAAAUAGGGCACACAUCUUUCUUGUGGUGCCUUGCUGAAGUGUGUGCGUGUCAGCAGUGAUCUUUUAAGGUGGAGUGUGGUGUUGAACAUUUAAAAAAAAUGUGUACUUUAUAUAUUCCUUUAAAUUUAAAAAGGUUAAUAAAUGUGUGUGUGUAUACAAAAUGUUCAAAAAGGAGAGUGAAAUAAAAAGUUGUAUUUAAUAA